CUCUGGCUGGUGAUUUUGUAAAGCAAAAGAUUUAGGGAGCCACUGCCUGGAUGCACUUGGGUUCCCUGGAAAACAUUAAAGAUAAUCCUGCAUGAAAGGAGGGAUGAGCCAGCCUCCCUAAAUCAUCAUGAUCAAUGAGGGUGUCACCUUCAAAAUUCAUUUCAAUUUUUCUGAAUUACCUGUAGCCAAGAAGAAUAAAUUUCGAUAAAAGCCCUGAUCAUUUUUGUUACGAUCUUUUGGACCCUCUCCAAGUAAUCUGAACGUCUGUGCAAACUAGAGAGUCACUGUGACAAAUCCCCUUGUGCACCUGAGCCUAACGAGAUCCCUGGAAAGAAGAGAAGUUACGUGUAAUGAUAGCAUAAGAAUACAAUAGUCUUCUCUACACUAAAACAUUACCAAGCAAAGAAAGACUUUAUGACCCAGGAGAUGGAGAACAAAGGAGGAAGUACCUAAAGGGGCUUUGUGUGCUGAAAACCAACCUCUGCUUUUUAAAAUGCUUUGCAGGGCGCCUGGGUGGCUCAGUUGCUUAAGGGUCGGACUCUUGACUUCAGUUCAUUCAGGUCAUGGUCUUGCGGUUUGUGACUUCGAACCCCACAUCGGGCUCUGCGAGAAGGGCGCAAAGUCUACUUGAGAUUCUCUGUCUCCUCUCUCUGCCCCUCCUACACUUUCUCUCUAUCUCUCUCUCAAAAAUAAAUAAGCAUUAAAAAUAAAUAAAUAAAGUGCUUUGCUACUCUAUUUUUUGUUUGCAAUCUUGUAGUUUGUGCUUUUGUGGGGUUUUUUUUGUUUUAUUAUGAAUUUUAUUAUCUAUU